GAUGAUCGUUUAUCCGUGUAUCAAUUAGAACUAGACAAGGUAAAUACAGCGAAAUAGAAAAUUUGGAAUAAUAGAAAUUGGGCAGAAACUUGUUAGGAAUUCAUAUAUCGUAGUAAAUAUUACAACGAAGCGACUUAACUGUGGGCGAAUCACUUAAAAUACAGACGAAUACAGACGUAAAUAUAGAUUGCUUUUUAAGCUAUGCUAUGAAGGUAUAUAAGGACAAGUUAACAUUCAAGAUUAAGACGUGACGAUAUUAUUAAUGAACCGUGGAAUAAAUAUAAGCAUAGAGCGAAUCGGGGAGACUUGACAUUGGAAAGCAAUAGCUGGAAGUAAAUAUUAUGCCGGAAAAAAAGUACAAAAGUCGGGCU